UCAAUAGUCUUUUAAUUGAAGGCCAGAAUGAAUGGUUGAACGAGAGAUACACUGCCUCUCUAUUAAAUAAAUUGAAAUUUACUUUUAAGUGAAAAGGCUUAAAUAUAUUUAAGGGACGAUAACACCCUAUAAAUCUUUAUAUUAGUUAGCUAUAUAUUUUAUAAAUAUUUAUAUAAGUAAAAUAAAUAACAAACAAUAUUUUAUUGGGGUGAUAUAAAUAUAAUAAAUAACUAUUCUACUUUUAUUACAAUGAUAUUUGAUUAACAUCAAAAAGAUCCUUUAUUUAAGAUUCUAAGAAUAAGUUACUUUAGGGAUAACAGCGUUAUCUUUUUUGAGAGUCCUCAUCAAAAAAAAAAUUGCCACCUCGAUGUUGAAUUAAAAUAUCUUUAUGGUGCAGAAGCUAUAUAAGAAAGUCUGUUCGACUUUUAAAAUUUUCCGUGAUC
rnacentral:rRNA from 1 species